rnacentral:rRNA from 1 species
CCUACGGGUGGCAGCAGUGAGGAAUAUUGGUCAAUGGACGCAAGUCUGAACCAGCCAUGCCGCGUGCAGGAAGACGGCUCUAUGUGUUGUAAACUGCUUUUGUACGAGGGUAAACGCAGAUACGCGUCUCUGUCUGAAAGUAUCGUACGAAUAAGGAUCGGCUAACUCCGUGCCAGCAGCCGCGGUAAUACGGAGGAUUCAAGCGUUAUCCGGAUUUAUUGGGUUUAAAGGGUGCGUAGGCGGUCGGAUAAGUUAGAGGUGAAAUCCCGGGGCUCAACUUCGGAAUGGCCUCUGAUACUGGUCGGCUAGAGAGUAGGUGAGGUAGGCGGAAUGUAUGGUGUAGCGGUGAAAUGCUUAGAGAUCAUACAGAACCCCGAUUGCGAAGGCAGCUUACCAAG